rfam:Myotis lucifugus cont2.36663, whole genome shotgun sequence.
GCCAGUGUGGCUCAGUGGUUGAGCAUCUGUCUAUGAACCAGGAGGUCAUGGUUCGAUUCCACUCAGGGCA